UCUCAUGGGGGGACAACAGUUGGAAACGACUGCUAAUACCGCAUAAUGUAUUCGGAGGGCAUCCUCUGAAUACCAAAGCUUUAUGUGCUGAGAGAUGGUCUCGCGUCUGAUUAGCUAGAUGCGGGGUAAGGCCCACCAUGGCGACGAUCAGUAGCCGGUCUGAGAGGAUGAACGGCCACAUUGGGACUGAGAUACGGCCCAGACUCCUACGGGAGGCAGCAGUGGGGAAUAUUGGGCAAUGGGGGAAACCCUGACCCAGCAACGCCGCGUGAAGGAAGAAGGCUUUCGGGUUGUAAACUUCUUUUACCAGGGACGAAGAACGUGACGGUACCUGGAGAAAAAGCAACGGCUAACUACGUG
rnacentral:rRNA from 1 species